UACGUGGGGGGCAAGCGUUGUUCGGAAUUACUGGGCGUAAAGGGCUCGUAGGCGGCCAACUAAGUCAGACGUGAAAUCCCCAGGCUUAACCUGGGAACUGCGUCUGAUACUGGAUGGCUUGAAUUCGGGAGAGGGAUGCAGAAUUCCAGGUGUAGCGGUGAAAUGCGUAGAUAUCUGGAGGAAUACCGGUGGCGAAGGCGGCAUCCUGGACCGACAUUGACGCUGAGGAGCGAAAGCUAGGGGAGCAAACGGG
rnacentral:rRNA from 1 species